rnacentral:misc_RNA from 1 species
UUGGAUUUACCUCUGCAUUGCUUUUUAAGUAUGCAGGAUUGGACAUUGACAAUCUUCAAAAUUUGGAGUGCUGUCUUUUUGUUCUUUUCCCGUAUUUCUCGUACAUGCUUGCAGAAGGUUUUGGUUUGUCUGGUAUUGUAUCAAUAUUAUUCACAGGAAUGGUGAUGAAGCAUUAUACAUAUUCGAACUUAUCGCAGUCUUCACAACAAUUUGUUGCGGAAUUUUUCCACUUAAUAUCAUCUCUGGCAGAGACAUUUAUAUUUAUAUAUAUGGG